rnacentral:tRNA from 1 species
GCCGCCCUGGGUGGAGGCGGCCGGCACGUAGCCAUAGCCCGAGGUGUCGCGCGCGGCGCCCGGUCGGGCGUUCAGCUUCGCUUCGGCGGCC